UACAGGGGGGGCAAGCGUUGUUCGGAAUUACUGGGCGUAAAGGGCUCGUAGGUGGCCAACUAAGUCAGACGUGAAAUCCCUCGGCUUAACCGGGGAACUGCGUCUGAUACUGGAUGGCUUGAGAUUGGGAGAGGGAUGCGGAAUUCCAGGUGUAGCGGUGAAAUGCGUAGAUAUCUGGAGGAACACCGGUGGCGAAGGCGACAUCCUGGACCAACACUGACGCUGAGGAGCGAAAGCCAGGGGAGCAAACGGG
rnacentral:rRNA from 1 species